rnacentral:rRNA from 1 species
GACGAACGCUGGCGGCGUGCCUAAUACAUGCAAGUAGAACGCUGAAGCUUGGUGCUUGCACCGAGCGGAUGAGUUGCGAACGGGUGAGUAACGCGUAGGUAACCUGCCUGGUAGCGGGGGAUAACUAUUGGAAACGAUAGCUAAUACCGCAUAACAGUAGAUAUCGCAUGAUAUGUGCUUGAAAGGUGCAAUUGCAUCACUACCAGAUGGACCUGCGUUGUAUUAGCUAGUUGGUGAGGUAACGGCUCACCAAGGCAACGAUACAUAGCCGACCUGAGAGGGUGAUCGGCCACACUGGGACUGAGACACGGCCCAGACUCCUACGGGAGGCAGCAGUAGGGAAUCUUCGGCAAUGGACGGAAGUCUGACCGAGCAACGCCGCGUGAGUGAAGAAGGUUUUCGGAUCGUAAAGCUCUGUUGUAAGAGAAGAACGAGUGUGAGAGUGGAAAGUUCACACUGUGACGGUAUCUUACCAGAAAGGGACGGCUAACUACGUGCCAGCAGCCGCGGUAAUACGUAGGUCCCGAGCGUUGUCCGGAUUUAUUGGGCGUAAAGCGAGCGCAGGCGGUUAGAUAAGUCUGAAGUUAAAGGCUGUGGCUUAACCAUAGUACGCUUUGGAAACUGUUUAACUUGAGUGCAAGAGGGGAGAGUGGAAUUCCAUGUGUAGCGGUGAGAUGCGUAGAUAUAUGGAGGAACACCGGUGGCGAAUGCGGCUCUCUGGCUUGUAACUGACGCUGAGGCUCUAGAGCGUGGGGGAGCUAAAUGAUUUGAUACCCUGGGUGUUCCUAGGGCGAAUUCCCCUGUGUUAUCAAGGUGUUCGAAUCCGUGUACGUGUGGGGGAAAAACCAGGUUCUAAAUUUGGUUGCUGUUUGUGUGGGUUUAUUAUGCUGUGUGCUGCUAGUCUAUUGUUUUGUGCUGUGUUGAUUGUAUGUUCAUUAG